CAACAAUGGCCGAGAUUAUGAUGGAGGAACAAUUAAAGCACAAAAGCGGAGGAGCAACCGGAAGGGGAUCAGACGACUUAACGUUGGUCAAAAGGGAAGCAGAGCUAACGACAACUUACCAUCAUCUAUAGAGGAACCUUGGAAGGCAACUCUACCACUAGAGAGUAGUAAAACCUCGUGGAAUAUCUCCAAUAAACCGGAAGCAGGUUGAUGCAACGAGCAAAUGACUAUCCUUCCGCUGGCCGCCACUUCCCUGAGCGUCCUCACCACAGUCAUAGCACCAUAGCUGUCCAAUCCGGUAGUUGGCUCGUCGCAAAAGAGAAUGCUCGGCUCGAUAGAGCGGAUAAUUUUGUGGAGGUACAUUUUGCCAGGCCAAGUUCUCUCAACAGAACCGUUAUACGUUGCCGUCUGAAGUUGGCCCUCAGCCUUCUGUCCAUUUU